rnacentral:rRNA from 1 species
AUUGAACGCUGGCGGCAGGCCUAACACAUGCAAGUCGAACGAGUGGCGGACGGGUGAGUAAUGUCUGGGAAACUGCCUGAUGGAGGGGGAUAACUACUGUAAACGGUAGCUAAUACCGCAUACCAUCAGAUGUGCCCAGAUGGGAUUAGCUUGUUGGUGGGGUAAAGGCUCACCAAGGCGACGAUCCCUAGCUGGUCUGAGAGGUGGACCGGCCACACUGGAACUGAGACACGGUCCAGACUCCUACGGGAGGCAGCAGUGGGGAAUAUUGCGCAAUGGGCGAAAGCCUGAUGCAGCCAUGCCGCGUGUAUGAAGAAGGCCUUCGGGUUGUAAAGUACUUUCGGCGGAGAAGCGUUACCCGCAGAAGAAGCACCGGCUAACUCCGUGCCAGCAGCCGCGGUAAUAC